ACACACACACACACACACACACACACACACACACAGCUAGGCUCCCCUCCUCCCCCUUUACAGCAUAAACACACUGAUGGGGCUUAGAAGAACCAGCACCUCCUCCCCUCCAUCCCUCUACCCCUCAACCCCUUCUCCCGUCUCUGCUGGCUCUUUUAAUGAAGCCAAGCUGAGCACUAAGCAGAGAGCCAUUACAGCUCUUGCAGAUUUUCUUUUUUUUUUUUCAAGAAUUAACACUUGAGCACUGCAGGGGGAUAAAGAGAAAAGGAAAGAAGGGAAAUGUCCCCAAAGGUGUUUUCUUCCUAUUUCUCUCUCUCCUUUCACUUUCACCAGGGGAUCUGAGAGCUCGGUGGCUUUUGUGUGAGUUUCCACUGCUCACCCUUACACCUCCACCUUUAUCUAUUCCCCCUGGCUCAACCUGGCAAAGAAGAGUUGCAGCAAACAACUGAUGCUGUAUGUGAUAAGAAAGGAAAAGAUGAGCAUGCUUCUUCAUUUAAAUCUUUCGGGGCCUUAGGACUGGGCUGUGUUUUGUCUGUGGGUCCAGUUGGAAGUAAUCUGCAGGCUGGCAGGGAAUGAAAGAGCUCCAUGGUUCAUCCCUGAUGCUCCCCAGCCGCCGUCCGGCCGACCCUCUCCGCGGGCCUCCGUCUCCAGCCCUCCCCAGUGGGAUAAGACCUGCUCAAGGUCCCCUCUGUGAUGUGGGCUGCCCAAUAAAAGCCAAUACUAGCUGGAUUCCCAGGCCCAGUUUCCCCCUGAGUCUUUAUCUUUCACAGCAUUGGCUGAGGGUGAGGGCUGCCAGAGAAUUAGGUUUCACUCUGCUCACACAGACUGCUUCGCUCUUUGAUUCUGCCAUGGGUGGAAGAAGCUGAAGCAGCUAGAGGAGUGUGUGUGUCUGUAGAAUGGAAAAUGCUGAGAUGGAAACACAUCCAGUCAAGAGGGGCUGAUUGGAAUGGAUAUGGAUUUCACAAAACAAUUCCACAAUAUUUUAAAAUAGUUCAUAAAGGAUAGGUUCAUAUUUUUGUUAGUCUAUCUUAAUUCAAUACUCAUAGGCCAUAUGUACUAGUUAUUGGUUUGUGGUUUCCCUGACAGUGUUUCCUCUGCUCAGCCGGGGCACAGGGAUAGUAACACAAAGAAGGAAUUUUAUACUUAAAAAGAUUGUCUAACUCAGAUUGCUGAAGCCUCAUAUUAGCUUCGGCUGAUUAGAAUUCAUUUUUGUACACAAGAAAAUGGUGGGUUUUGUCCCCCAUCUCUUACCCUGUAGUUGAGCUAGGGUGCAAUCGCUUCACAGAAAAACAGGAACAUUACCACUCACAAGAAAGGGAGAGAAAAAAAACAGACAAAAAAAGGGUGACAAGAAAAAACAACUGCUGUACUCUUCCUCGUAGAUUUCUGUGGGAUAUCUCUUUGAUUUUCAUAUUGGAUCGACAAAGUUUUCCAAUGACUUAGAGAUUCUAGCUGCUGUGAGCUUCUGGGUUGGGAAGAAGAUCAUGUCCAUAAACAUCUGAGUAGCAUUUAAAAACUUCUGACCAAAACCUGUAAAGUCUGGUGCAGAACCAGAACACACGAGCCAGUGUUCCAUCAGAUUGUUUGCAUUUAAUACAAAGUGAAGAAGAGGAUGGGUAGAAUUAAUGUAAUUUAACAGAUGAAUAAUGAAGUCUAUGUAUGAACUUAUAAUUAAUUAACUGAUGUCUAGAAUUAAUUGAGUAUGUGCUAUGAAGACAUUUAGCCCAUGUAUCUUCUGAUAUUUCGACUCCUAUUUCACUCUCCCAGGACGCCCUCAAGUACUAUGUGGAUGGAGCAGUCUGGCCCGCAUACAUUUACAAACAUAGAGACCAGUUUUUUGGCAUCAGGCUCAGUCGUCACUAGGGACUGAAGUUCAUCAGGGAGCUGUAAGUUUCAAAAUUUGAAAUGUUUCCUCUAACAUAGUUCCUGAUUUGUAGAUACCUGAAAAAGUGGGGUGACUGCAGUGUAAAUGUUGCUUUAAGCUGAGAAAAUGAAGAAAAUACAUUAUCAGUACAGAGUACAGGUCAUUAAUAGUAACAAGACCAUUCCUUUUCCAGGCUGAAAAAACAGCAUCUAGUUGUGAAGGAGGGAAUGCAUGCAUUGUAACAAAUAGGGGCCAAAAUGGAAGUGUUUGGUAGCUGGAAUGUUUUUAUUUUAUUUGAUACCAUACUUUUAUUGAGUUUUGGACUCUAAAACCGAUGCUCUUAAAAGAUCCAGGAGGGUUUUUUUUUUUUUUUUGGCUGAAGUGCUGGGAGAGAAGUGCUGCUAACGUCCUGCUCUAAAGCCACCCUUGAUGGGAUAGUGUCUUUAAGCUCCUCAGGGUAUGCAUCCUGCCAGUAAAUGAGGGCUCAGGCAUUGGCCGCCCAGUAAUAGUGCUGGAACACCGGUAAACCCAGUCCUCCCAGUCUUUAGGUUUGCACAGAUGCUUUUUACUUAUACGAUGUGUUUUGUACCCCCUGAUAAAAGGCAUGAUAAUUGAAUCCAGUGUUUUAAAAAGGCUUUAGGGAGACAAAGUGGUAUAUUUUGGAAUAAAUACUCCCAAGAAGAGCUAUGGGUCUAUUUAUCUUUUUUCAGAAUUAAGGAAAUAUUUGUGGUGUAUAAUGAUUCUGAUAAUGUUUUGUUUUUAAUUGACUCUUUAAACAUUCUCAGCAAUAAAGGGGCUCUGUCGUCUAUACCAAGGCCAUCAGGGCCAGCUGCCUUGCCAUUUGGGAAUUAUUUUAUCGCUGUGAGGACCUCCUGUAGUGAUAUUUCUACAUUCAGCUCAUUUUAUGCAUUUAGGUCUAGUUUAGGGAGUGAAAGAGAGCGCAGAAAUUGAAGGAUAUCUGCUUCAUUUGUAAGACUUUGGGAGGUGUAUAAUUCUUCAUAAUAUUUCCUGAAGCAGUCAGUUAUUUUAACAGGGUCUGUAACUAUAGAGCCUAAAGGAGGUUUAAUCUUAUUAUUAUAUAGCCCUAAUGGCUUGUGCACCUCUCAACUGUCGUGAAAGCAGGGGGGCCGGGUUUCUCUCCCAAUUCAAACUGUGUAUGCCUCACUUUCAGAAGCAAAGUGCUAACUUGCUUUGAAAGAAUGCUGUUAUAUAUCUAUGUUUUAGUGUUACAGUAUCUUUGCAGAUGAAGAUCUAGCCUCUCUAUACUGUUUUUCAAACAAAGCAAGCUGCUGCUCUGUUUCUGUUAACCUGUUUCUCCUUUGCUUUUUUUUUGUGUUGCUUCAUAUAUUACAAAUCCUCUUAUGACUACUUUAAGGGCUUCCCACAAAGUCGAAUCUUAAAACAUCCCCUGUAUCAUUGAAAGCCACAUACUCCUUAAUAAAAGCUGAGCAUUUUUCAAAAAAUAUUUUAUCAUGAAGCAGGUUUGGAUUAAAUGGAUUAUGGGUUGUAAUGGGUCUUCUUCCAUCCAACAUCGAUGCCUAUAGUAACAGGACUGUGAUCUGAGAUUAAGAUAUUAUGGUAUUUUGAUGAGGAGAUUGCAGGUGUUUAUUUAGAGUCAAUUAAAAAGUAAUCAAUAUAUGUGCUGUGAACUUACAAGAAGAAGGAAUAUCCUUUCUCAGUGGGAUGCUGAAUUCUCCAGAUACAGAUUAUUUAGCACAACUGUAGAGUCUAGAGUGUUUACUCGGCGCGAGGAAGCCCUAUCCAUAAGUGUAUCUAUACUGCAGUUAAAGUCACCACCAGCAAUCAAGUUGGUUGUUAAUAAAUCAGCAAUGGGACUGAAAAGACCACGAAAGAAACCUGGGUUAUCAAAUUUGGUGCAUAUAUGUUUAACAGGGUGACAUGAAGAGUCAAAAUAGUGCCAGUCAAAAUUCUAAAGCGACCUUUAGGAUCAGUUUUAGUGGACAAAUGUUGAAAAGGAAUAUUAUGUUUAAUUAAUAUGGCCACGGCUCGUACUGAAAAAGUUGAAAAUGUUUGCAACCAGUAACAUUUUCAACAUACAUAUGAUGUGAGUAUUGUUUUAAGAUAGACUUGAAAAAAUCCAAAUCCAUCCAUUAACCUGACUUGAGGUGGAAGGUUUUAUACCAAUUUAAGGUGGGAAAAUAGUUGAAGACAUUAUGUCAUAAAGCAAUUGUGAAGUGCUUUCAAGCAUCCAGAGCUUUUUGUGCUUUAGUUCUGGAGGAAGCAUGAAAUAUGGCAAGACCCUUGAUUACUGAAGGGACUACCAUGGGCCUUGUGGUAAGAUUAUUUUAUCAACUGCUGUCUCAGAGGACAAGAAUAAGUUUCAGUCUCUUCUAAGUCAACAUGGACGAGAAGUUCUGACAGUGCUCAGAGGUAUGGAAGUUUGAACAUCUGCGUCUCCAUUACAACUGGGCAAACUCAAUCUGCUCAGGAACAUUGUGUGAUACAUUCGAAAACUCCAGAACAGCUACUGGACCUUGUGGGGAAAUUAUUUUGUCAGCAGUGGAUUAUGUACAACAUUUUGUCAUAUUAAAUGCCAAUGUUUCUAGCAAUGCUUGUAGUGUGGCUCUACAGAGUCAGACUGAAAUAUCUUUGCAACUACUGGAUGGAUUGCCAUGAAAUUUGGUGCAGAUAUCCACGGUACCCAGAGGAUGAAUUCUACUACUUCUUCUUCUACUGAUGUUGUGAUCCAGAAUUUUAAUCCAGUGCCAUCAUCAAGUUACAUUUUUUAUUAGUACAACACUUUGGUUUAUGACCAAAUACUUGCAAUACUAAUGACAUACAGGGACAUUAGGGACAGGAACUCUGGCCUCCUGCAUGAACGUCGGAUACACUAAACACCUAUAAACUUCUCCUUGUGUCUGUGGGCAUGUUGAAGUUUGACAAAGCUCCUGAGUGAAAUUAAAGUGCAAGUCUGACCUUUCUCUGAUGCAA